CCUACGGGAGGCAGCAGUGAGGAAUAUUGGUCAAUGGACGAGAGUCUGAACCAGCCAAGUAGCGUGAAGGAUGACUGCCCUAUGGGUUGUAAACUUCUUUUAUAAAGGCAUAAAACGAGGUACGUGUGCCUUUUUGCAUGUACUUUAUGAAUAAGGAUCGGCUAACUCCGUGCCAGCAGCCGCGGUAAUACGGCGGAUCCGAGCGUUAUCCGGAUUUAUUGUGUUUAAAGGGAGCGGAGAUGGGUUGUUACGUCCGUUGGGAAAGUUUGCGGCUCAAACGUAAAAUUGCAAUUGAAACUGGCAGUCUUGAGUACAGUUGAGGUAGGCGGAAUUCGUGGUGUAGCGGUGAAAUGCUUAGAUAUCACGAAGAACCCCGAUUGCGAAGGCAGCUUACUAAACUGUGACUGACAUUGAUGCUCGAAAGUGUGGGUAUCAAACAGGAUUAGAUACCCUGGUAGUC
rnacentral:rRNA from 1 species